AUUUUGUUUACAAUAACACUUUUGUAUGAAAAUUUUAGUUUGUCGGCCCAACACUUAAAAUUUCUUUGCCACCAAAACACUCAAGACAAUUAUUUUUUUAUUUCUCUCUUCUUUCUCUCCAUCUUCGACACAUCUCUCUUCCAUCUUCUGUUUUUCUAUUUUCAGAUUUCAUCUCCUCAAUCUAUGUUCUUACUCAUCGCGCGCGCGCGCGCGCACACACACAUCUCUCUCUAUCUUACUCUCCUAAUCUCUCUCUCUCUCUCACACGCGACACAUCGAUCUCAAACCUAGAACUCGGGAACCCUAAACUGCGCUCGCACCGGAUAUAACUGCGCUCGCACCGGAUUCGUGAGCCGUCUCGAAGUUCCCAAAAGCAUUCCGAUAUGUGAUUCGAAACACUCGGAUCUUAUACGGUGUUUGGAUAGAGAUCUUCACCACCAGUUGAAACUGAGACUCAACUUAUCUCUUUGUUUUCUCUCUUCUUGAGUUUAUAGGAUACUGCAUAUUUUCAGUGGCUUUGUUUGUUUAUUGAGUUCUAAAGGUUGUAGGUUUAAUGGUGUUUGUUGUGCAGGAGAAUGAUUUACUCCUUUUGGAGGUGAUUUGAUGCGAGAGUUUAAGAAUGCACUUUUGAAGCAGAGAACGAACAGAGCAUCAGGCUCUCGAUUGGCAAAAUUGCAGGAUAAUCAGAAUAAGAGUCUUAUCCAACGCCGCUUAUCCGAACUUGAAGUUUGAAAGAAGGUUGGCUUGAUGGUGGAAGCUUUGCUUUUUCUGUUUUACUUGUCAUUGUUUUUACAGUUAAACAAGGUGGAGGAGGCUGAAGAAGCUUGAUGGUGGUGGUCUCGCUACCGACGCCAUAUCAGAAGAAGCAUCGCUCGAGAUGAGA